rnacentral:pre_miRNA from 1 species
CAAGUACUUCCUCCGUCCAGAAUUACUUGUCAUCAAAAUGGAUGUGUCUAGAACUAAAAUACAUCUAGAUACAUCCAUUUCAAUGGCAAGUAUUUUCGGACGGAGGGAGUACAAG